AGUAUAUGUUGUAGGAGUAAGGUUGGGAUGUUUAUGUGUGUAUAAUGUGUAUGUUUGGAAUAAAAGGAUGGGUACCUAGAAGGAAAACAAAUAUUACUUGCCUGUAAAAAAUCUUCUUCUUGGCUCUGACACCUCUUUGGAAAGUUAUGCAAAGCAUAUAUGUCAAUAUACUACUCAGCAUACAGAAUAUUUAAGACCCUCUUGGGGAAGUGAUUGAAAAUAAAACCUUUUAGGUAAACACAUCUGUUUCUGAAAAGCAUAAUUUAAGCAGAAGAUUUAAAAUUCAAGUUAUUUCCUAGCAAACAUCUCAUUCUGUGAUUUAGGUGUAUAUAAAGCUGUGAGCAUAUAAUAAAUUCAUAUUCUGAUGAUUUGAUUUAGA